rnacentral:rRNA from 1 species
UGGGGAAUAUUGGACAAUGGGGGCAACCCUGAUCCAGCCAUGCCGCGUGAGUGAUGAAGGCCUUCGGGUUGUAAAGCCCUUUUGGCGGGGACGAUGAUGACGGUACCCGCAGAAUAAGCCCCGGCUAACUUCGUGCCAGCAGCCGCGGUAAGACGAAGGGGGCUAGCGUUGUUCGGAAUUACUGGGCGUAAAGCGAGUGUAGGCGGUUGCCGUAGUCAGGUGUGAAAGCCUUGAGCUCAACUCAAGAAAUGCACUUGAUACUGGGUGACUAGAGGACCGGAGAGGAUAGUGGAAUUCCCAGUGUAGUGGUGAAAUACGUAGAGAUUGGGAAGAACACCAGUGGCGAAGGCGGCUAUCUGGACGGUUACUGACGCUAAGACUCGAAAGCGUGGGGAGCAAACAGGAUUAGAUACCCUGGUAGUCCACGCCGUAAACGAUGGGUGCUAGACGUUGGCGAGCUUGCUCGUCAGUGUCGCAGCUAACGCGUUAAGCACCCCGCCUGGGGAGUACGGCCGCAAGGUUGAAACUUAAAGGAAUUGACGGGGGUCAUAGCUGUUU